AGUGAACGCUGGCGGUAGGCCUAACACAUGCAAGUCGAACGGCAGCACAGUAAGAGCUUGCUCUUACGGGUGGCGAGUGGCGGACGGGUGAGGAAUACAUCGGAAUCUACUUUUUCGUGGGGGAUAACGUAGGGAAACUUACGCUAAUACCGCAUACGACCUACGGGUGAAAGCAGGGGAUCUUCGGACCUUGCGCGAUUGAAUGAGCCGAUGUCGGAUUAGCUAGUUGGCGGGGUAAAGGCCCACCAAGGCGACGAUCCGUAGCUGGUCUGAGAGGAUGAGGGGGAAAACUGGAGCUGAGACACGGUACAGAGUGCGAAGGGAGGCAGAAGUAGGGAAGAGGAAGAAAUGGGCGAAAGGGUGAAGGAGCAAAGACGCGUGAGUGAAGAAGGUGGUCGGAUAGUAAAACUCGGUUAUUAGGGAAGAAAAAAUGAGGAAGGAACUAUGCAAGGCGGGAAGGGACCGAAGCAGAAAGGCAAGGAGAAAGAAGUG
rnacentral:rRNA from 1 species